rnacentral:piRNA from 1 species
UGUGAUGGAAGAAACUGGUAGUUAUGCAU